UCCGAUAUGGUGUAGUGGCUAACAUUAUCGCCUCUCAAUUAGGUCGCAAUAGCCCGGGGUUCAAUUCCCCGUGUCGGAA
rfam:Sphaerobolus stellatus SS14 unplaced genomic scaffold SPHSTscaffold_4, whole genome shotgun sequence.